GGCUAACAGUGGCAACCUAUGUCAAUGAUAAUUAAAGUAAUCCAUUGAUUUUAGGUUGUUUCGGUAGGAACUCAUAAUCGCUUGGUCACUGGUUCAAGUCCAGUAGGGGCCACCA
rnacentral:tRNA from 1 species